rnacentral:rRNA from 1 species
CCGGCGCACGGGUGAGUAACACGUAUCCAACCUGCCGUCUACUCUUGGCCAGCCUUCUGAAAGGAAGAUUAAUCCAGGAUGGGAUCAUGAGUUCACAUGUCCGCAUGAUUAAAGGUAUUUUCCGGUAGACGAUGGGGAUGCGUUCCAUUAGAUAGUAGGCGGGGUAACGGCCCACCUAGUCUACGAUGGAUAGGGGUUCUGAGAGGAAGGUCCCCCACAUUGGAACUGAGACACGGUCCAA